GACGAAGGCUGGCGGCAGGCUUAACACAUGCAAGUCGAGCGCCCUGCUUGCAGGGAGCGGCAGACGGGUGAGUAAUGCAUGGGAAUCUACCCAGCUCUACGGAAUAACUCAGGGAAACUUGAACUAAUACCGUAUGCGCCCUUCGGGGGAAAGAUUUAUCGGAGUUGGAUGAGCCCAUGUCUGAUUAGCUAGUUGGUGGGGUAAAGGCCUACCAAGGCGACGAUCAGUAGCCGGUCUGAGAGGAUGAUCAGCCACACUGGGACUGAGACACGGCCCAG
rnacentral:rRNA from 1 species